rnacentral:rRNA from 1 species
UACGUAGGGGGCAAGCGUUGUCCGGAUUUACUGGGCGUAAAGAGCGCGUAGGCGGAAGUUUAAGCGUAGCCUGAAAGCCCCCGGCUCAACCGGGGAGGGUGGCCGCGAACUGGACUUCUUGAGGGCGAUAGAGGAGAGCGGAAUUCCUGGUGUAGCGGUGAAAUGCGUAGAUAUUGGGAGGAACACCAGUGGCGAAGGCGGCUCACUGGACCGGUACUGACGCUGAUGCGCGAAAGCGUGGGGAGCAAACGGG